rnacentral:rRNA from 1 species
AUUGAACGCUGGCGGCAGGCCUAACACAUGCAAGUCGGGCGGAUGACGGGAGCUUGCUCCUUGAUUCAGCGGCGGACGGGUGAGUAAUGCCUAGGAAUCUGCCUGGUAGUGGGGGACAACGUUUCGAAAGGAACGCUAAUACCGCAUACGUCCUACGGGAGAAAGCAGGGGACCUUCCGGCCUUGCGCUAUCAGAUGAGACUAGGUCGGAUUAGCUAGUUGGUGGGGUAAUGGCUCACCAAGGCGACGAGCCGUAACUGGUCUGAGAGGAUGAUCAGUCACACUGGAACUGAGACCCGGUCCAGACUCCUACGGGAGGCAGCAGUGGGGAAUAUUGGACAAUGGGCGAAAGCCUGAUCCAGCCAUGCCGCGUGUGUGAAGAAGGUCUUCGGAUUGUAAAGCACUUUAAGUUGGGAGGAAGGGCAGUAAGCUAAUACCUUGCUGUUUUGACGUUACCGACAGAAUAAGCACCGGCUAACUCUGUGCCAGCAGCCGCCGUAA